rnacentral:rRNA from 1 species
ACAGGCGUUGCAUGGUUGCCGUCAGCUCGUGCCUUGAGGUGUUCGGUUAAGUCCGUUAACGAGCGCAACCCUCGUCGUAUGUUGUAUUUUCAUGCGAGACUGCCCGUUACAAACGGGAGGAAGGUGAGGAUGACGUCAAAUCAGCAUGACCCUUAUGUCUGGGGCUACACCCGUAAUACAAUGGCUAGUACAAACUGAAACGAAACCGUAAGGUGGAGCGAAAACAGAAAAAACUAGUCUCAGUUCGGAUUGAAGUCUGCAACUCGACUUCAUGAAGUUGGAAUCGCUAGUAACCGUGUAUCAGUCAUGGCACGGUGAAUAUGUUCCUGGGUCUUGUACUCACCGCCCGUCAAGGCACGGGAGUUGGGGGCG